rfam:Anaeromyxobacter sp. RBG_16_69_14 RBG_16_scaffold_348, whole genome shotgun sequence.
GGGCCCAUAGCUUAACGGCAAAGCUGUCGGCUCAUAACCGAUCGGAUCCAGGUUCGAAUCCUGGUGGGCCCA